rnacentral:lncRNA from 1 species
UAAUGAAUGACAACUUGACGAGAUCUUGACACGCACGUUGGAAGUGUACGCGUGUUUGCACCUCGAUGAGCGUUGCACAAUAACAAAGCUCCGUUGGUGAGCGUAUUGAUUAAUAAAGCUAGGUGAAGUCCUUGAGUGCUUCAAGGACUUUGUUUUGUUUUAGCAGUAUUUUUUCCUUCAACAAUUAAUCUUGCAUCUCCAACCGUGGAAUGAGUUACAUGUGACUCGAGACAAACAAACAGUGCAAUUGCAACAAUAUAAUUAGUCAGCGAUAUAAAUUUGCCAUAUCUUCAUGCCAACCACAAGGAUUCUGCUUUUGCACACACCUUCAUUAUUAAUGUGUUUCUUCAGGUAUGGUCACUAUCAGCAGCUUUACACACAGUGUGCAUCGUGAAUACAUCAAUCCCAGA